rnacentral:rRNA from 1 species
GAACGCGAAGAACCUUACCAAAUCUUGACAUCCUUUUGACCGCACCGUAAUGGGUGCUUUCCUUCGGGACAGGAGUGACAGGUGGUGCAUGGUUGUCGUCAGCUCGUGUCGUGAGAUGUUGGGUUAAGUCCCGCAACGAGCGCAACCCCUAUUGCCGGUAGCCAGCAGGUAAAGCUGGGCACUCCGGCGAGACUGCCCGGGAUAACCGGGAGGAAGGCGGGGAUGACGUCAAAUCAUCAUGCCCCUUAUGAUUUGGGCAACACACGUGCUACAAUGGCGUUAACAAAGAGAAGCGAGAACGCGAGUUUAAGCAAAGCUCAAAAAUAACGUCUCAGUUCGGACUGCAGUCUGCAACUCGACUGCACGAAGCUGGAAUUGCUAGUAAUCGCGAAUCAGCAUGUCGCGGUGAAUACGUUCCCGGGUCUUGUACACACC